rnacentral:tRNA from 1 species
AGGUGGUUAGUUUAAAAAAAACAUUUGAUUUCGGCUCAAAAGCUCGUGGUUCAAGUCCACACCCGCCCG